rnacentral:pre_miRNA from 1 species
GGUAUUGUUAGAUUAAUUUGUGGGACAUUAACUACAGCGUCAGCAGCAACGUCAACUUUAGUUAAUGAAUCCUGGCGAGUUAAGUAACUUGAUUU